rnacentral:lncRNA from 1 species
GCCUGAUCAUGUCCGAAAUCAUCCUCAGCCAUUCGAUCAUGAAUGACUCACUCCAGAGCCAUCGGAUCGUACAAAAAUGUUAGUGGACUAUGCGUGGACUGUGUGAUCGAUCCACGCAGCCUCCAUGGACUGCCCAGCACCCUAGGUCCACGAUGGAUCGUGUAGGGCACUGGGCCUAGGCGCCCAUAUUGGGCCGGCCCACACACUGGGCUACACGCGUCUGCAUGCACACAUGCAUCUAUCAGGCCCGACUGCACCACCAUCGGCCUCUACUGCCUUGUGCAUCGUGCCACCUGCUCCGAGCUUCUUUCACGUGUAUCUUUGCUGUAUAGAUUUUAUUUGGGUUGUUCUUGGACUCGUUGGACUUCGUUCGUCGUUCUAGACCUUAUUGUGAGCUCAAUAUGGAUCAAAUCUUGAGGUAUCAAAUCUCAACAAUCUCCAUCUCUACUUGAUAUUUGAACCCUACCUAUCUCUGAGAGCCUGUGAUCCGUCUCACCCCCACGCCCUAAGGUAUGCCUGCUAUCUCAUGGAUGGACAAACAUGGAAGUCGAGCCAAGCCGCUCGAUCCCACCUCAAUCAUGGGCUAUGUCUACUCUGACCAAAGAUCUGCUCGAAGAAGCCUCCUAUGGUAAUAGAAACUUUACUCUGUGACAUCGUCUCUCAUCCUCUCGAGUCUCCCAUCUAGUAUCCGAUCCACCUCCACCUGGAGCUCCACCUUGCUCUAGGCUCCUCCUGGCUCCUGAAGCUCCACCUCGCACUAGGCUCCCUACCAAGUAGUAAUAUCCUCUCGUCCUCUUCUUCUCCUCUAGAAUAAUCCUAUUGUUGUGCAAUACCGUUAAGAUUUUUCUACCAGCUAUUGUCCUAUAGCCUCACGAAUCCAGUCUGUUCAGUGAGAUAAGAUUCCGUCUGAAAUCGGAUAUAUAUCGGAUCUCUCUCAAUCUCCUCACUACAUCAUCAUGUGUCCUCCAGCUGACCGUCCCGAUGCCUCUGAUCGCACAGCUUGAUCCAUCCAGUAGAUAAAUAGUUCCCCCACAACUCUCUAGAGAGUCAAACUACUCCUCUUUGCAAUAUACAUGAUAGGUGCAUGCAGAAUCUAAAAUUUAUUACUGAAAAGAAGUAGAUAUCUCAUCAGAUAUCUCCAGGAUAUCAUCCUCUGACUCGCUAUUGGCUGUCACUAUAGUAGCCCUCGUCUGAUCCCUGAGUUAAGGGCAAUCUCUGGCUAGAUGCCCCAACUCAUCACAUCGAUAACAUCUGGUCUUGCUCAAGUCUCUCAUCCUGGACUUGGACCAUCCUCGUCGUGAUCCCCUAUCGCUUUGUCUGCCACCUCCUACUCCUUCAAAAAUCACCAAAGCUGAGCUGCCGCCUGAGCUCGAAGCUGGAUUCUCCCUCUUGAGAACCUCAUUCUGGAGAAUCACCAUGGUGA